CACCUGGCGACAGGGCGCGGAACCCGAAAACCUGUCUCAGUUCGGAUUGGAGUCUGCAACCCGACUCCAUGAAGCUGGAUUCGCUAGUAAUCGCGCAUCAGCCACGGCGCGGUGAAUACGUUCCCGGGCCUUGUACACACCGCCCGUCAAGCCAUGGAAGCCGGGAGUGCCUGAAGUGCGUGACCGCAAGGAGCGUCCUAAGGCAAUACCGGUGACUGGGGCUAAGUCGUAACAAGGUAAC
rnacentral:rRNA from 1 species